ensembl:lncRNA
GGACAGGGAGUGACGACACACAGAGCAACUCCAGCACGAAAACAAAACCCUGCAUUAAAAAACAACUGUGAACAGCGACGGUGUGCAUUGCUCUUCACGGAACUCUCUGUUCUUCAUAAUUUUAAUAUGACAGCCAGACCUAUACCGUGGGUGAAUGAAGUGGUCGAGACUUUUCUGUCUAUGGUGGCGGACCAAAGAAUACAGAGGGAGCUAGACGGAGAAAGUUUAUCAGGAGGUCUCUGAGUGGAUGGCCGCUCACAUAUACAGUAGACUAUAUAAAGAGGACAAUGAAGCAGCGUAGGGAGAAGCUGAAAAAGCUCAAAAGUGACUAUCGGUCUACCAAGGACCACAACGGCCGGCGUGGGCCAACCAGAAGGUGUUGGAAGAGGUUUAAUGACCGCUAUUUACUGGCACCGCCAGCAGCAGGAGGGAGACACAGCCGCUGCAUUGUUGGAGACGUUCGAGGACGAAUCCCUUUCCACAUGCGAAGCCUACUCCACCUCCGUCAUGGAGCUCCCAGCUCCCCUGCCUCCUCUCCACCACCAGCAGCGGCUCCUCUCCAGCACCAGCUUCGACACCAGUACCAGCUCGGACACCGACCCUGUCAACAUCAGCCUCCAGCACGUCACAGCAACGUCUUAUCACUGUGGAGGAGGUACUGCUUGUGCUUUUGUUAAAGCGAAGAGUACCAGAAGUUUAUUAAAGUAUCAAAGACAUGAUCAUGAUUGAAAAUGGAUGGACGGGUGGCUAAACACAUCACAUCAUAGCUGUGGAGUCUUUCAAGCU